UACGUAGGCAGCGAGCGUUGUUCGGAGUUACUGGGCGUAAAGCGCUUGUAGGCGGUCCACCAAGUUUGGGGUGACAGUUGCCGACUUAAUCGGCAAAGUGCCUCAAAGACUGGCGGACUUGAGGGCCACAGAGGGACAUGGAACUCCAGGUGUAGUGGUGAAAUGCGUAGAUAUCUGGAAGAACACCAGAGGCGAAGGCAGUGUCCUGGGUGGUCGCUGACGCUGAGAGGCGAAAGCCAGGGGAGCGAACGGG
rnacentral:rRNA from 1 species